CGGGCCGCGCGGCCGGAGCUGAAACCGAGGAGCGGCGGCCGCGGCGGCAUCGGGACCUGGGAACGCCAGCGCUCCGUUGGACACGGCGUCCCCGAGAGAGUCCGGGGCGCGCGGAUCUGCCUUCCGCGGUCCGGGGCUGCCCGGGGGGGUACGGCGUUCCCCGAGGGCGGGCGUGUCCGCUGCGCCGGGCGGGAGACGAGCGCGGGGCCGCAGCCUGUUGGAGCGCUGGGGGCGCCGGGCAGGGGGCGCGGGGUACCUCGCCGGGGACCAGGCGGCCCGGCUCCUUGUGCAGAGCAGUUUUCUCGAACUCUCCGCCUCUGUCUUGUUGGGGCCCACCGCUGCCAGGAGACCCCAUCCGGACCUGCCAAGAAAAGGAGUGUCAUGAAAAAGGAGCAGAAAGGAGACAUCACUGCUGGUGAAAGGGGAGUUUUCUUUCCCAGUUGGUGGUUACUUCAUGAUUGGAAGAGAAGUACCUAGGUGGCUGAAGAGAUGAGAUUUUCCUAGUUUUACCGAUGAAGCUGAUAAACGACGAUGGGAAAAUGCUUUCUCUGGGUCAUAAUGGGCUGAUGAGUAAGUAAGCCUGGAAAGACUGAUCUGAAAUGAGGGCAGGAAUUUUGAGUGUUUUAAAACCAAGUAGGACUUUGAACACUUGUUGAGGAUAUUUGUAUCUCAAAAAUGGAGGAAGAAAAAAUUCUCAAAGCAAGAAGUGUAAAAAGCUGAGAGGAGUAACAAUCUAGUCCUCUCCAAGAAUUUCAGUACUUCAUCAACUUCUCUGAGCACACACAAGCAAAGGCAUCAGGCAUCCUAUCCCAGGUGGUGGUAUCCUACGGCAGGAAUGACUUCUUAAGUUGGAUUAGGAGUGCUUUUUCUUUUUCACAAUGUGUGUUUUUUGACUCUUCACGUUAGGCAAAUUGAUGUCAAGGAAGUAAUAGUUUGACCUCUGUUUGCUGUGUGAUAUGGGAAAAUUAGAGGUUUUAACCUUCCUUGAAAUUUUAUUGGAAGCAAUACUGUGUCAGGGACACAGACCCACAGUGUAAGUUUUCUUUUUGGCAACUGUGCUUGCUUUGAAUGAGCCGAAUGUUAGCUGGAUUUCACAGUGUAUGUGAUUUACAGUCUUUGUUUUAUCAAGGCCUUAAAUGUAUGUUUUAUACUCGCCAGAUGGGAAACACAUUGAGCGUUGUGUGUGACACGUACGCCUAAGGA
rnacentral:lncRNA from 1 species